GAAGGCAAAGAAAAAAAGUUCAGGAGAUUGAGAUCAAUGUCAACUUAAUAUACCUCCCCAUCACCACCUACUAUUGUGAAAUAGCAGCUUUCUUUGGUAAUAAUUUAUCCUUAUAAAUCAGUAAACCUUAUGAAAAUCAAGUUGUGAAAACUUGAUUAAAAAAUGCUGUCAAUUUACAUUUUAGUUGCUACUUCUGCAGCCUACACACCCAUAAGCCAUGGAUUUUCAAAGGUGUUUUAGCUUUUAUUUCUUCCUCUACUUUCAUUAGAGAGGAAGAUAGCCCUAGCUUUCCAAAAUAGGAAAUUCUAAUGCUUCUUUCACGGUGAUUGGAGUUAAUAAUAUUUGUGCUAUCCAUUUCACUUCUAUUUCCCAACCCAUGAAUCUAAACAUUGGUUUUAGGAGAAAGAGUGUGUCUUAUCUUCAGUUUAGUCACAAUUCAGUUUUCACUUUUAAAAUUAAGUUAUAAUGGAAUGUGCAGGCUAUAUUUAUUCAACAUUGUUUUUAAUUCACACUUACACAGAUGAUUUUUUUCUGGAAACUCCAAAGCAAUCUUUAUGGUAUCAUACUGGAUAAAAAUCUGUACUGGUGCUUCUUAGACGACCAUGCACACAAUAUUAUAUCAUAUUUCAUGGGUGUUGGGGCAUUGCACAGAAAUGCUGCACAACGAAAUGGCAGGGAUCUAUAAUGUUGGCAUUCAAGUGUGGGAGAAAAGUUGAAUCAAGAGUCAUAACUUCAAACAAGAGGCAGAGGGUACAGAAAUUCUGUAUUCAGUAAGCGUUGUCAGGGGUAGGAGGUGAGCAGAAUCUGAGAUGUUUCACACUUAACAUUCCCUUGGGCUGGAGACUGGGGAAUGACUAAGCAGGCAUUGGAAAAGACCCAGGAAAUGUUAAAUUUCUAUGGCGUGAACCUUUACAAGCUAUUGAAAAGAAAUGUGCGAGUUUCAAAAACUUAAAAAACGGAAAAAAAUCUAACUGUUCCUAAACAUCUUUGAUGUGUUUUGAAGACUACAGGUAAAAAGUAGCCUUUGUUAUGGAAAUAACUAGGUUUAUAGACACACAACACAUGGCAGAACAGUGAGAAACAAUACAAGUAUCUGAAAGAAAACCUGUCAGUAUUAGCCACAAAAAUGCAUCUAAUUUACAGAUUCGGAGACAGAUUGUUGUUUAAUAAUUACUGAGCCUUUUUAUCAUUAAAAAACCGUAUUAAAUAUUUUUCCAUGUUUAUUCAUUAGAAAAUAAUUAAAACACUAAAAUUAGGGCUCUUUCUACUGUCAUUGGACAGAAGCAGAACUCCAUUUACUUUGCUACUUUUCAUUUGCCUGUGUACCCAUUCUUUAUUUGACCAAGUUUUCUGGAAGACUCUUUGAUCAGAAGGUGUGAAACUCUUUCACCUAGAAGCUGAUCCUGUAAUUCUAUUUCAACUGCUUUGUGGCAGCUGAAUAACGUAAGGGAUUAGACUGAAAAAGAGAACAAAGAUUUUUGAUUUCACAGAAAUCUCCAGUUUUCAGAAUAAAGGCCUAGAAACAUAAAGGAAAAGAAUGAUUUCUGUGUACAUAUAUCACAUGUGCAUACAAAAACCAAACUUCUUAAAUUGCGUGCUCUUUUAUAGUCAAAGCUGUAUAGUUUUCUAGAAAUCGAUUGCUUCGUGGAGUCAAUAGUCCUUUGGAAUAACUUUUUAUCUAUGAAUUAAGAAUUGUUAAGGAAUACACAGCUGUUUCAUAUAGACUUACAUAAUUGGAAAAAUAAGAAAAACUUCUGAGAUGUAAUUCUAAAAUAUUAAUAAAAUUGCAAUAGUAAUUCUUAUUAAAAAUUCAAUGUCGUUUCAUUGCACUCAUGUCAAACAGUGAAUUGCUUUCCCUAAAGCCAAAUUCUUACCACAGAAAUAGUUAGGUUUUAAUCGAGGCAAGUUUCCCUACUUCUCCUUCAAGUCUGUCUCUGAAGUACAGAUAAUAGAGAAGGAGAAUUCAUCCACUCAGCAGUAUCUGAAGUAGUAGAAUUUCUUACUCCACAGCUAAGCUCAUGAGUCCAGAACACAUUUUUCUUGGGUACUUGUAUUGUGAAGUGUGAUAUUGCAGGUUCAGCUGGAAGAUUGGACUUAAAGAUGUGCUGUUAGCCUUGAACUAAUAUCUACUCUAUGAUGCAAUCAUAGAGGCUUUUAUCAUUCUCCUCAAUAGUGUUAACAAAUUAGAAGCUCAAUGUAUAUUUUUCUUCACCAUUUGAAUAUGAUUUCUUCUGAGGUGCAAAAGUGAAGAACAGCAUAUCAAUAUAAACUAUUUCUAAAAAUAAAUCAAUUAAGUGUAUGUUCUGCUUUGAUAUACAUCCAUUGUUCAUCCCAUGAUAGGUUUUUGAAUAUCUUGGGUCAUUUUUAUAUAAUUUGUCAUAGUUUCCAACAAGUUUAGAUUAUAGUAGCCCUUGUAUGGGAAGAACAGUACUGUUAACUUGCAGGGAUAAAUGAUGCUUCACAUAAUGAUUUAUUACCGUAUCUGAGAAUAAUUUCUAGAGACUAACUGAUUAUAUUAGAAACACUAUAGAUUUCCCUCUUUUGGCAUAAAAGGAAAUGAUCCAUAUCUUACAAAAAUGUUCUUAGCCUCAUCUGUAUCAAAUUCAUUGGAAGUAUGCAUUCCUUAAUUACAACAACCUGAGAGGGAAACCGGAUCAACAGCUAAAGCAGAAGGAAAAAAAAAAAUAGCUUCUAGGACACCUCCAAUUAAGCCAGUGAACCAGUGCUUUCUAUUUUGAACAGAUGUUACAUACCUUUUCCAAGUACUGAACAGGUUUUUGUACCCACUUGGUCUAUUUAUAUUGUACUUGGCUUGCCUUCAAACUUCUAUUAAACGAUAGUUUUUGAACCAAAAGGGACAUUUGAUUACGACAACACUAUAAGCCACAUUAGUAUGCACAUUACUUUGUUCAUUAAAAAACAGGCUCCUUACUAAUGUAGGAAACUGAUAUUUCAACCUGGAGAUAGUAAGUGAUUUCUUGUCUAAGUUUUCUAUUCAAUAAUGCUGAAUUAUCCACAGAUAGAAUAUUUUCUGAGGAUUAGUCAUGCCAAAUCCUACUUUUAUAUCAUUAAUAUGGUUUCGCUUACUGUGGGACAUGAAGCUCACUUUUGGCAUGAAGGCACCAAAUUUUUAACCCUGACUAGGUAUUGGUAAAAAAGAGAUCUUCACUGCUGGUCAUAGUUCCGCUUCCUGUUCGACUCUGGUGUCUUUGCUGAGGGUGACAUUGAGCUGCAAGUUGCAUCUGGGGUGCCUUUAGGAUCCAGCACCAUGGUGGAAGAAGGCAAUGAGACCAAAAUCAAGAACUACAAGACUGCCCCUUUUGACAGCCGCUUCCCCAACCAGAACCAGACCAGGAACUGCUGGCAGAACUACCUGGACUUCCACCGCUGUCAGAAGGCAAUGACCGCUAAACGCGGCAAUGUCUCUGUGUGCGAAUGGUACCAGCGUGUGUACUAGUCCCUCUGCCCCACAUCCUGGGUCACAGCCUGGGAGGAGCAACGGGCUGGUGGCACAUUUCCCGGGAAGAUCUGAACUGGCUGUACCUCCCUCUCCUCUGUCCUCUGUCCUUCUCCCAGGAUGGUGAAGGGAGACCUAGUACCCAGUGAUCCCCACCCCGGGAUCCUAAAUCAUGACUUACCUGCUAAUAAAAACUCAUUGG